UACGGAGGGUGCGAGCGUUGUCCGGAAUCACUGGGCGUAAAGGGCGCGUAGGUGGCGCGGGAAGUCAACGGUGAAAGCUCAGGGCUCAACCCUGAGUCGGCCGUCGAUACUCCCGGGCUUGAGCACUGUAGAGGCAGGUGGAAUUCCGGGUGUAGCGGUGGAAUGCGUAGAGAUCCGGAAGAACACCGGUGGCGAAGGCGGCCUGCUGGGCAGUUGCUGACACUGAGGCGCGACAGCGUGGGGAGCAAACAGG
rnacentral:rRNA from 1 species